AUACGGAGGGUGCAAGCGUUAUUCGGAAUCACUGGGCGUAAAGGACGCGUAGGCGGGUUGGCAAGUCAGAUGUGAAAUCCUACAGCUUAACUGUAGAACUGCAUUUGAAACUGCUAACCUAGAGUAUGGGAGGGGGAGAUGGAAUUAGUGGUGUAGGGGUAAAAUCCGUAGAUAUCACUAGGAAUACCGAAAGCGAAGGCGAUCUCCUGGAACAUAACUGACGCUAAGGCGUGAAAGCGUGGGAAGCAAACAGGAUUAGAUACCCGAGUAGUCC
rnacentral:rRNA from 1 species